GGAUUGCAGCCUGCAACUCGGCUGCAUGAAGCUGGAAUCGCUAGUAAUCGCGGAUCAGAACGCCGCGGUGAAUGCGUUCCCGGGUCUUGUACACACCGCCCGUCACACCAUGGGAGCCGGAAACGCCCGAAGCCAGCGGCCUAACCGCAAGGAGGGAGCUGUCGAAGGCGGGGCCGGUGACCGGGGUGAAGUCGUAACAAGGUAAC
rnacentral:rRNA from 1 species